rnacentral:rRNA from 1 species
AGAUUAAGCAAAGAAGAGCGCAGGGUGGAUGCCUUGGCACUAAGAGCCGAAGAAAGACGUGAUAAGCUGCGAAAAGCUGCGGGGAGAUGCAAAUAAUCCUUGAUCCGCAGAUGUCUGAAUGGGGAAACCCGGUACGAAGAACUCGUAUCAUCCAUACGCCAAUCCAUAACAUAUGGAGGGGAACCCGGUGAACUGAAACAUCUAAGUAGCCGGAGGAAGAGAAAGAAACAUCGAUUUUGUUAGUAGCGGCGAGCGAAAGCGAAAGAGGCCAAACCGGAGUGCGUGCACUCCGGGGUUCGGACCGCAUUUAAGAUUCAGUGAUUCUAGCAGAAAGGUUUGGGAAAGCCUGCCGGAGAGGGUGAAAGCCCCGUAAGCGAAAGGAGAACUGACUGAGCGGGAUCCAGAGUACAUCGAGACACGAGAAACCUUGAUGGAAAGAGCGGGGACCACCCCGUAAGCCUAAAUACUACUUAGUGACCGAUAGCGCAUAGUACUGUGAAGGAAAGGUGAAAAGGACCCCGGGAGGGGAGUGAAAGAGAACCUGAAACCCUGUGUUUACAAGCUGUGGAAGUUCUUUAAAUGAACAACCGCGUACUUUUUGUAGAACGGUCCGGCGAGUUGCGGAUACUGGCAAGGUUAAGCACUUAAGGUGCGGAGCCGAAGGGAUACCAAGUCUUAACAGGGCGUAAAGUCAGUAUACGCAGACCCGAAACCGGGUGAUCUAUCCAUGUCCAGGUUGAAGUUGUCGUAAAAGACAAUGGAGGACCGAAGCCACAUCCGUUGAAAAGGGUGGGCAUGAGGUGUGGAUAGGGGAGAAAUUCCAAUCGAACCCGGAGAUAGCUGGUUCUCCUCGAAAUAGCUUUAGGGCUAGCCUCGAUUUAGUCUUAUGGAGGUAGAGCACUGAAUUUCCGCGGGGGCGUCAAAGCUUACCAAAGAAUAUCAAACUCCGAAUGCCAUGUAGAUGAUGAUCGGGAGUCAGACUGCACGAGAUAAGUUGGGCAGUCAAAAGGGAAAGAGCCCAGACCACCGGCUAAGGUCCCAAAGUGCGUGUUAAGUGGAAAAGGAUGUGGGAAUUCGAAGACAACUAGGAUGUUGGCUCAGAAGCAGCCAUACAUUCAAAGAGUGCGUAACAGCUCACUAGUCGAGAGUUCCUGCGCCGAAAAUGUCCGGGGCUGAAACACGACACCGAA